rnacentral:rRNA from 1 species
GACGAACGCUGGCGGCGUGCUUAACACAUGCAAGUCGAACGGUAAGGCCCUUCGGGGUACACGAGUGGCGAACGGGUGAGUAACACGUGGGUGAUCUGCCCUGCACUUCGGGAUAAGCCUGGGAAACUGGGUCUAAUACCGGAUAGGACCCUGGGAUGCAUGUCCUGGGGUGGAAAGCUUUUGCGGUGUGGGAUGGGCCCGGGGCCUAUCAGCUUGUUGGUGGGGUGAUGGCCUACCAAGGCGACGACGGGUAGCCGGCCUGGGAGGGUGACCGGCCACACUGGGACUGAGAUACGGCCCAGACUCCUACGGGAGGCAGCAGUGGGGAAUAUUGCACAAUGGGCGCAAGCCUGAUGCAGCGACGCCGCGUGAGGGAUGACGGCCUUCGGGUUGUAAACCUCUUUCAGCACCGACGAAGCGCAAGUGACGGUAGGUGCAGAAGAAGGACCGGCCAACUACGUGCCAGCCGCCGCAGUAAUAC